rnacentral:rRNA from 1 species
AGGAUGAACGCUGGCGGUCUGCUUAACACAUGCAAGUCGAACGGGCGUAGCAAUACGUUAGUGGCGGACGGGUGAGUAACGCGUGAGAAUCUACCUUCAGGACGGAGACAACAGUUGGAAACGACUGCUAACCCCCGAUGUACUGAAAAGGCAAAUAUUUAUAGCCUGAAGAAGAGCUCGCGUCCGAUUAGCUAGUUGGAGAGGUAAAAGCUCACCAAGGCGACGAUCGGUAGCUGGUCUGAGAGGACGAUCAGCCACACUGGGACUGAGACACGGCCCAGACUCCUACGGGAGGCAGCAGUGGGAAUUUUCCGCAAUGGGCGAAAGCCUGACGGAGCAAGACCGCGUGGGGGAAGAAGGCUCUUGGGUUGUAAACCCUUUCUCUGGAAGAAGUUGUGAAAGCAGCCUGACGGUACCAGAGGAAUCAGCAUCGGCUAACUCCGUGCCAGCAGCCGC